rnacentral:rRNA from 1 species
UCAAGCGAACAAGUGCAUGUGGUGGAUGCCUUGGCGAUCACAGGCGAUGAAGGACGCGGUAGCCUGCGAAAAGCUACGGGGAGCUGGCAAACGAGCUUUGAUCCGUAGAUGUCCGAAUGGGGAAACCCGGCCCUUUUGGGUCAUCCUGGACUGAAUACAUAGGUCCAGUGAAGCGAACGCGGUGAACUGAAACAUCUAAGUAACCGCAGGAAAAGAAAUCAACCGAGAUUCCCAAAGUAGUGGCGAGCGAAAUGGGAUGAGCCUUGCACUCUUUAUUUGUAUUGUUAGCCGAACGCUCUGGAAAGUGCGGCCAUAGCAGGUGAUAGCCCUGUAGGCGAAAACAGUAUGAAAGAACUAGGUGUGCGACAAGUAGGGCGGGACACGUGAAAUCCUGUCUGAAGAUGGGGGGACCAUCCUCCAAGGCUAAAUACUCGUGAUCGACCGAUAGUGAACCAGUACCGUGAGGGAAAGGCGAAAAGAACCCCGGGAGGGGAGUGAAAUAGAUCCUGAAACCGCAUGCAUACAAACAGUCUGAGCCUCGCAAGGGGUGCCGGCGUACCUUUUGUAUAAUGGGUCAGCGACUUACGUUCAGUAGCAAGCUUAACCGUAUAGGGCAGGCGUAGCGAAAGCGAGUCCGAAUAGGGCGUUCAGUUGCUGGGCGUAGACCCGAAACCAGGUGAUCUAUCCAUGGCCAGGAUGAAGGUGCGGUAACACGUACUGGAGGUCCGAACCCACUAACGUUGAAAAGUUAGGGGAUGAGCUGUGGAUAGGGGUGAAAGGCUAAACAAACCUGGAAAUAGCUGGUUCUCUCCGAAAACUAUUUAGGUAGUGCCUCGUGUCUCACCUUCGGGGGUAGAGCACUGUCAUGGUUGGGGGGUCUAUUGCAGAUUACCCCGCCAUAGCAAACUCCGAAUACCGAAGAGUGCAAUCACGGGAGACAGACAUCGGGUGCUAACGUCCGGUGUCAAGAGGGAAACAACCCAGACCGCCAGCUAAGGUCCCCAAAUAUAGCUAAGUGGGAAACGAAGUGGGAAGGCUAAAACAGUCAGGAGGUUGGCUUAGAAGCAGCCACCCUUUAAAGAAAGCGUAAUAGCUCACUGAUCGAGUCGUCCUGCGCGGAAGAUGUAACGGGGCUAAGCUAUAUACCGAAGCUGCGGAUGCGAGCUUGCUCGCAUGGUAGGAGAGCGUUCCGUAAGCCUGCGAAGGUGCCUUGUAAAGGGUGCUGGAGGUAUCGGAAGUGCGAAUGCUGACAUGAGUAGCGAUAAAGGGGGUGAAAGGCCCCCUCGCCGUAAGCCCAAGGUUUCCUACGCAACGUUCAUCGGCGUAGGGUGAGUCGGCCCCUAAGGCGAGGCAGAAAUGCGUAGCUGAUGGGAAGCAGGUCAAUAUUCCUGCACCAUUGUUAGAUGCGAUGGGGGGACGGAUCGCGGAAGGUUGUCCGGGUGUUGGAAGUCCCGGUCGCUGCAUUGGAGAAGGCGCUUAGGCAAAUCCGGGCGCGCAAUUCAAGGGUGUGGCGCGAGCUCCUUAGGGAGCGAAGCAAUUGGAAGUGGUUCCAAGAAAAGCCUCUAAGCUUCAGUCUAACGAUGACCGUACCGCAAACCGACACAGGUGGGCGAGAUGAGUAUUCUAAGGCGCUUGAGAGAACUCGGGAGAAGGAACUCGGCAAAUUGGUACCGUAACUUCGGGAUAAGGUACGCCCUUGUAGCUUGACUGGCCUGCGCCAGGAGGGUGAAGGGGUUGCAAUAAACUGGUGGCUGCGACUGUUUAAUAAAAACACAGCACUCUGCAAACACGAAAGUGGACGUAUAGGGUGUGACGCCUGCCCGGUGCCGGAAGAUUAAAUGAUGGGGUGCAAGCUCUUGAUUGAAGUCCCGGUAAACGGCGGCCGUAACUAUAACGGUCCUAAGGUAGCGAAAUUCCUUGUCGGGUAAGUUCCGACCUGCACGAAUGGCGUAACGAUGGCCACACUGUCUCCUCCCGAGACUCAGCGAAGUUGAAGUGUUUGUGAUGAUGCAAUCUACCCGCGGCUAGACGGAAAGACCCCAUGAACCUUUACUGUAGCUUUGCAUUGGACUUUGAACCGAUCUGUGUAGGAUAGGUGGGAGGCUAUGAAACCGGAACGCUAGUUUCGGUGGAGCCGUCCUUGAAAUACCACCCUGGUUUGUUUGAGGUUCUAACCUUGGCCCGUGAUCCGGGUCGGGGACAGUGCAUGGUAGGCAGUUUGACUGGGGCGGUCUCCUCCCAAAGCGUAACGGAGGAGUACGAAGGUACGCUAGGUACGGUCGGAAAUCGUGCUGAUAGUGCAAUGGCAUAAGCGUGCUUAACUGCGAGACCGACAAGUCGAGCAGGUGCGAAAGCAGGUCAUAGUGAUCCGGUGGUUCUGUAUGGAAGGGCCAUCGCUCAACGGAUAAAAGGUACUCUGGGGAUAACAGGCUGAUACCGCCCAAGAGUUCAUAUCGACGGCGGUGUUUGGCACCUCGAUGUCGGCUCAUCUCAUCCUGGGGCUGUAGCCGGUCCCAAGGGUAUGGCUGUUCGCCAUUUAAAGAGGUACGUGAGCUGGGUUUAAAACGUCGUGAGACAGUUUGGUCCCUAUCUGCCGUGGGCGUUGGAUAUUUGAAGGGGGCUGCUCCUAGUACGAGAGGACCGGAGUGGACGAACCUCUGGUGUACCGGUUGUCACGCCAGUGGCAUCGCCGGGUAGCUAUGUUCGGAAGAGAUAACCGCUGAAAGCAUCUAAACGGGAAACUCGUCUUAAGAUGAGAUAUCCCUGGGGACUAGAUCCCCUUGAAGGGUCGUUCGAGACCAGGACGUUGAUAGGUCAGGUGUGUAAGCGCAGUAAUGCGUUCAGCUAACUGAUACUAAUUGCCCGUAAGGCUUGAUCC